rnacentral:rRNA from 1 species
GACGAACGCUGGCGGCGUGCUUAACACAUGCAAGUCGAACGGAAAGGCCCUGCUUUUGUGGGGUGCUCGAGUGGCGAACGGGUGAGUAACACGUGAGUAACCUGCCCUUGACUUUGGGAUAACUUCAGGAAACUGGGGCUAAUACCGGAUAGGAGCUCCUGCUGCAUGGUGGGGGUUGGAAAGUUUCGGCGGUUGGGGAUGGACUCGCGGCUUAUCAGCUUGUUGGUGGGGUAGUGGCUUACCAAGGCUUUGACGGGUAGCUGGCCUGAGAGGGUGACCGGCCACAUUGGGGCUGAGAUACGGCCCAGACUCCUACGGGAGGCAGCAGUGGGGAAUAUUGCACAAUGGGCGGAAGCCUGAUGCAGCAACGCCGCGUGCGGGAUGACGGCCUUCGGGUUGUAAACCGCUUUCGCCUGUGACGAAGCGUGAGUGACGGUAAUGGGUAAAGAAGCACCGGCUAACUACGUG